rnacentral:rRNA from 1 species
GACGAACGCUGACGGCGUGCUUAACACAUGCAAGUCGAAGGUAGUGGCGAACUGGUGAGUAACACGUUAGUAACCUGCCCUUUUCUUUGGGAUAAGCCUGGGAAACUGGGUCUAAUACUGGAUGGUUUGGGAUGGGCUCGCGGCUUAUCGGCUUGUUGGUGGGGUGAUGGCUUACCAAGGCUUUGCCGGGUAGCCGGCCUGCGAGGGUGGUCGGUAACACUGGGCCGGCGAUACGGCCAAGAGUCGUACGGGAGGGAGCAGUGGGGGAUAGUGCACAAUGGACGAAAGGCUGAUGCAGCGACGUGGUGAGGGGGAUGAAGGCGUACGGGUUGUAAAUUACGGUCGAACGAGGAAUGGUAGUGGGCAAAGAAGCGCCGGUUAACUACGGGCAAGCAGCGGGGGUAAUA